UACGUAGGUGGCAAGCGUUGUCCGGAUUUACUGGGCGUAAAGAGCGCGCAGGCGGUCGCUCAAGUCGCGUGUGAAAGCCCCCCGGCUCAACUGGGGAGGGUCACGCGAUACUGAUCGACUCGAAGGCAGGAGAGGGUAGUGGAAUUCCCGGUGUAGUGGUGAAAUGCGUAGAUAUCGGGAGGAACACCAGUGGCGAAGGCGACUACCUGGCCUGUUCUUGACGCUGAGGCGCGAAAGCUAGGGGAGCAAACGGG
rnacentral:rRNA from 1 species